UGACGAGGCACUACGGUGCUGAAGCGACAAAUGCCCUGCUUCCAGGAAAAGCCUCUAAGCAUCAGGUAACAUCAAAUCGUACCCCAAACCGACACAGGUGGUCAGGUAGAGAAUACCAAGGCGCUUGAGAGAACUCGGGUGAAGGAACUAGGCAAAAUGGUGCCGUAACUUCGGGAGAAGGCACGCUGAUAUGUAGGUGAAGCGACUUGCUCGUGGAGCUGAAAUCAGUCGAAGAUACCAGCUGGCUGCAACUGUUUAUUAAAAACACAGCACUGUGCAAACACGAAAGUGGACGUAUACGGUGUGACGCCUGCCCGGUGCCGGAAGGUUAAUUGAUGGGGUUAGCGGUAACGCGAAGCUCUUGAUCGAAGCCCCGGUAAACGGCGGCCGUAACUAUAACGGUCCUAAGGUAGCGAAAUUCCUUGUCGGGUAAGUUCCGACCUGCACGAAUGGCGUAAUGAUGGCCAGGCUGUCUCCACCCGAGACUCAGUGAAAUUGAACUCGCUGUGAAGAUGCAGUGUACCCGCGGCAAGACGGAAAGACCCCGUGAACCUUUACUAUAGCUUGACACUGAACAUUGAGCCUUGAUGUGUAGGAUAGGUGGGAGGCUUUGAAGUGUGGACGCCAGUCUGCAUGGAGCCGACCUUGAAAUACCACCCUUUAAUGUUUGAUGUUCUAACGUGGGCCCCUUACCGGGGUUGCGGACAGUGUCUGGUGGGUAGUUUGACUGGGGCGGUCUCCUCCUAAAGAGUAACGGAGGAGCACGAAGGUUGGCUAAUCCUGGUCGGACAUCAGGAGGUUAGUGCAAUGGCAUAAGCCAGCUUGACUGCGAGCGUGACGGCGCGAGCAGGUGCGAAAGCAGGUCAUAGUGAUCCGGUGGUUCUGAAUGGAAGGGCCAUCGCUCAACGGAUAAAAGGUACUCCGGGGAUAACAGGCUGAUACCGCCCAAGAGUUCAUAUCGACGGCGGUGUUUGGCACCUCGAUGUCGGCUCAUCACAUCCUGGGGCUGAAGUAGGUCCCAAGGGUAUGGCUGUUCGCCAUUUAAAGUGGUACGCGAGCUGGGUUUAGAACGUCGUGAGACAGUUCGGUCCCUAUCUGCCGUGGGCGCUGGAGAACUGAGGGGGGCUGCUCCUAGUACGAGAGGACCGGAGUGGACGCAUCACUGGUGUUCGGGUUGUCAUGCCAAUGGCACUGCCCGGUAGCUAAAUGCGGAAGAGAUAAGUGCUGAAAGCAUCUAAGCACGAAACUUGCCCCGAGAUGAGUUCUCCCUGACUCCUUGAGAGUCCUGAAGGAACGUUGAAGACGACGACGUUGAUAGGCCGGGUGUGUAAGCGCAGCGAUGCGUUGAGCUAACCGGUACUAAUGAACCGUGAGGCUUAACCUU
rnacentral:rRNA from 1 species